rnacentral:miRNA from 1 species
UAGGGCGACCAACUGUUUCUGUUUGUCCAGGGCUUUCAGUACUAGAACUGGGAGAGUCCCAGGCAAAACGGGACAGUUGGUCACCUUACCGGUGG